rnacentral:rRNA from 1 species
GGUGAACGCUGGCGGCGUGCUUAACACAUGCAAGCCGAGCGAGUGAGUUUUUCGGAACGAUCUAGCGGCGGACGGGUGAGUAACACGUGGGCAACCUGCCUCAUAGAGGGGAAUAGCCUCCCGAAAGGGAGAUUAAUACCGCAUAAAAUUAUCGAGUGGCAUCACACGAUAAUCAAAGGAGUAAUCCGCUAUGAGAUGGGCCCGCGGCGCAUUAGCUAGUUGGUGAGGUAACGGCUCACCAAGGCGACGAUGCGUAGCCGACCUGUGAGGGUGAUCGGCCACAUGGGGACUGGGACACGGCCCAGACUCCUACGGGAGGCAGCAGUGGGGAAUAUUGCACAAUGGGGGAAACCCUGAUGCAGCAACGCCGCGUGAGUGAUGAAGGUCUUCGGAUUGUAAAGCUCUGUCUUUGGGGACGAUAAUGACGGUACCCAAGGAGGAAGCCACGGCUAACUACGUGCCAGCAGCCGCGGUAA